CUCCUGCGUGCGCGCCGCGUCUAGCACCGCACCGAAGCGGAACGCCACUUCUGGACCCCCGCCUGGAGGACUCACCUGGCGCGGGUGCCUCCUAGCCAAUUUAUACCCACCUGAGCACCACCUGGAUGGGCGUUUCCGGCCCCUCUGGCCCUUGCUCCAGGCUCCGCGCGAGAUCCCUGUGGGCAGCAAUGCGACUUAUCAUACCUGCACCUAGCGGCUGUUCAGGACUCCUCGAACCUGUCUGAAGAUCUGCUUACCCGUCGGGUGACCCGCGUUCUUCCAUGUCCUGCUCUGCACACGGAGUUAGCUCCGCCCGCGUCUCCUUUAUUUACCCCCCACCAAUACCCUCCCUUCUCCACAACACUGGGACUGUCUACACACAUCUUGCAUUCCCACCCCAUCCCCCAUCCCAGGCAGCCAUCCAUCCGGAAAGACUCCAGCUGCCCAGGGCUAGCUCGUUAAAGAUUUACCCUUCCUCACCCCUGCGGUGGAGAAAGUCUCUCCCAAGCUAGGGGACCCCUAGCUAGGGGGUUCUGGAGUCUGAGGAUCCCUUGCUCUUGGCCAGUCCUCACAAGAGGAACCCGUGGGACCACCCAGACCGGCCUCCUUUGUGCCCAGUUGGGGAUACCUAAGCAGAUAGGAAGGACUCAACCAAGGCCACAGAGCUAGCCUGCACAGGACCAAGCUUUUCCCACCCUCUCCACAUACCCCCCACUCCCACCCCCAGCAGCUCAGCUCAGGGCCCAAGGAGUGGCACAGGUCUCAGUCAGCUCUAGGGACGACCUGGCUGGAUUGAAUCUCUGAGCUGACCUGAGAACAGGUUUCCAAGCAUCUGGUAAAACACUGGGGCACCUGCCUCUCUAAUGCCAAAGUUAAUCCUAGGCCAGCAUGAUUGUUUAACCCUCUCCUGGUCUGGCUUAUGAGAACAGCAGAGAUGUCUGUGAAUGUGCAGGGAUGGGGCAAUCACUUAUUCUGUACCAGUCUCCAUGCUGGGCACCAGGGCAGAGGAACCCCAUGCAGCCCCUGACCCUUCCCAGCUCACAGUGUGUCUGGGGAGAUGGAUAAGUACAACCCAGCAGCGUGUAGGGCCUUUAGGGGGAGUACAGAGGCCUGUAGGAGCCAGUGGGGGUGGGGAGGAGGUGAGGGUAUUCCAGGCAAAGCAAACAGGAGUCAGGAUGGCCAGGGUGGGGUGGGGAGAUGAGUGUGGCAUGGAGAGGUAGUUUGAGGCUGGAUCUAGCUUAUGGUGGGCACAUCAAGGAGUCUGGACUCACUCUUCAGGGAACCAGGAAGCCAUUGAAGGGUUAUAAACAGGGAUGUGACACCAUCAGGUUGGCAUUGUUAUUAUUAUUGUCAUUCUGGCUGUCUUUGUAUGUUCUCUGAAUAUUUCUGCAAACUCUCCGGCCCCCAAACACACAUUAGGGUGAAAGCCCUAAAAAUCACUUUUUCUCAAUGUGACACAUUCUAUACCACCACAAAUUACAGCCAACUAUCAAAGCCACCCUGCUGGAGAAUGGGCUGUCUUGGAUGGCAGUGAGCUCCCCAGGCAAUGGAGAUGUAUAAGAAAGAGCCAUUUGACCUUUUGGUUAUAGGACCCUCUAGCAGGGGCCACAGGGAAAGUUCUGUAGAACUAAUAACCACUGCCCCCAGCUCUGCCACUAACUUGCCACAGUCUUGGCUUCUCUUGUUUCCUUCCUGUAAAAAGAGAUUAAUGACUUCUCUCCUAUUUGACAUAGUUGUUCUGAGAUUUCAAUGAGAUGUGUCAUUGAAAGUGAAAGUUGUAAAUAAUUACCUAAAAACAAAAAUAAAAAUUCCUAGAUGAUCUCUAA